rnacentral:piRNA from 1 species
UUUAUUUUUAAUUUGACAAAA